AGUUCGAAAACGCCCUAUCUCAGAAAACAUUUCAAGAUCGCCCUACUUCAGAAAUCGGUUGAAGAACGCGCUAUUUGAGAAUUUGAUUG